AUUGAACGCUGGCGGCAGGCCUAACACAUGCAAGUAGAACGAGUGGCGGACGGGUGAGUAAUGUCUGGGAAACUGCCCGUUGGAGGGGGAUAACUACUGGAAACGGUAGCUAAUACCGCAUACCAUCGGAUGUGCCCAGAUGGGCUUAGCUUGUUGGUGGGGUAACGGCUCACCUAGGCGACGAUCCCUAGCUGGUCUGAGAGGAUGAACAGCCACACGGUAACUGAGACACGGUCCAGACUCCUACGGUAGGCAGCAGUGGGGAAUUUUGGACAAUGGGCGCAAGCCUGAUGCAGCCAUGCCGCGUGUAUGAAGAAGGCCUUCGGGUUGUAAAGUACUUUCAGCAGGGAGGCGGUACUCGAAGAAGAAGCACCGGCUAACUCCGUGCCAGCCGCCGCGGUAAUUC
rnacentral:rRNA from 1 species